GAAGGGUGGGAAAAAUCAUAUGGACAUUUACUACAUUUUUUCUUGCCAUAGAAAAAGUUUUUAUAAGUUACAGAGCAUUCAGAGUUACGGUUCUUUACAGUUUAUUUAGAAAAAGAAAAAAAAAAAUCCUUUAAACGGAUGCCAUCUCGCACUGGAUGCCAAGAGUCAGACAUGUACAAUUCUAUACAUCCAGUACACGCCACG
rnacentral:misc_RNA from 1 species